GUUUGUUUCUGAUCUUAAGUUUUUCCCCAUUCAAAUUUUCCUUGAUUUUGUUCAGAUUGAAAUUUGGGCUGUGUUUCGUUGAAGGCCCGAUUUCACCUGCUGAGAGCUGUUGAUAUCUCAGUUUAAAGCUCAUAUCUAUUUGGUUCGAAACUGAAUUUUAUCAGAGGAAGUUUUGUGUGUUCGCAAGCCUACAACACCCGUUGCAUUUUCUUCAGCGUGACCAACAACUGCACCUCUGAAGUUAACCAUGGCCAGCUACCCAAUAUAUCGUCUAGAUGCUUGAGGGAUAACAUCACCGUUGUGCACGAUUUCGAGGUGGCCAGUUAGCAGUUGUUGGAUGGCAUCUGGUCGGCAAGCACAUUCCCUCAAGUUUCCGCCUCGCCUAGCAUCCACCCCACUUCCCCAGCCAACCCAGCCGCCCUCUCCAUGCCGAACCCCUGUGCUAGUGGUGGAAAAAGUUUGCAAGAGGAACUUGAUUUUUUAGCUUUAUUUGUUUCUUAUACAGGUGAUGCUUUUUUAUAUUAUGGAUGGAUUCUUGAUAGCCAUCAUGGAUUAUUGCUAAGUAGAUAAUAGAAUAUUAAAUAAGUAAAAAAAAUUGCACAGUAUAGUAAUGAUAACAUGGUGUUAGUUCCUAUGAUUUUUUUGCUUAAAGCCUAUAUUAGUCGAAUUUAAUGGUUUUGUACAGUUACACCCACAUAUUACAGCAUUCAAUGAGUUUGAUUUGUGGCAGGAUCAAUGCUGUUCGUUGUUCUGUUCCAUAAUUCCUAGCAGUUUUUUGUUUCAUCAAAGGUGGUCACAUUUAGAUUCAGAUUUUUAUAAUUACAUACAUAUUUUUUUUACUUAAUGAUGAUAUGUGUAGCCAUCCUCCCCGGGGCUCCAAUCUGUGAGUAUGUUGGUGUGUUGCCGAGGACUGGAGAGAAAAGGUCAGGGUCUGAUAUGCAUAUGCCAUCACUUCAUGUUGAGAACAAUUCCGAGGCACCACCGGCACCGGAGUACUGCAUUGAUGCUGGCUCCAUUGGAAGUUUUGCAAGGUUCAUAAACCAUGGCUGCAACCCUAACCUCUUCGCCCAGUGUGUCCUAACCAAUCACCACGACGUCAAGCUAGAAAAGGAAAAACUAUAUAGCUUCUCUUGAGUUCUAACUGGCAUACGUGCUUUGCCGGAGCAUUGCUACGACUAUGGCUAUGUCUUGAACAACGUCGUUUCUGUGGAUGCUGAAAUCAUCAAGCUGCCAUGCUACUGUGGUGCCCCAGACUGCCAGAAGCAACUAUACUAGCGGAUCUUUUCUGUUUCGGGGAUUAUAUGUAGUAUUGGGGGUAUGAAUGCGGCAAUGCCUGUUGUCCAUAUGAAAAGCACGACAUCCUAAAAUUAUUAGCGAAAGAAGCGCGUUCUUUUUUUGUGUAGGGUAGAUGGCAUGCUGGACACGCUAAUUAUAGUUAGUAAACGAAGUUGUAUGGGUGUCAUGCCUGUGGGUCAUGAUGCCAUGACAUUUUGUGAACAACUGGUUCAUAUAAGUUGAUGGAAGAUUUAAUCGAUCUUUGGACAUUUACAUGGUCAGCAUCCUGCUUUUGAAGUACCUCUGUUCAUAUUUCAGCAUAUUUGUUCUUUUUGUUACCAGGUAGCACCUAACAUCGACAGCUGCGAUGUCAGGAACUCCCUCGCAAUUGCCGAAUAUGUCGCUGAAAUUACAACUUCUACAGACAGACCAAGGAGUUGAGUUGUGAGGCCCCCACCUACAUGACACCAAACUGAUAUCAAUGAGAAAAGGUGUAGUAUUCCCAUUGACUGGUUGACUGAGGUGCAGUACAAGCUUGAGCUACUAGGUGAAACACUAUUCCUUGCUGUCAACAUCAUUGAUAGAUCAAUGCACAGAAAAACAUGUCUCGAGUUUUCUCUUGAAUGGAACCUGCAAGUUUCUCAACUGUUUAGUGAAGCUUACCUUGAAAAGAACUAUAAAUACUACAGGAAGGAGAGUAAGACAAUGACAGUUCAUUGGAAUAUGGAUUUUGAGAGGAUAUUUAUGGGUUUAGAUGUCUGUAAUUACAUAUUACUUUCCUUGCUGAUGCUAUUGCUCAUUUUAUAAAACUGUCCUACAUCGCACACAUGGUUCAAAAGCAAAGAGAACAGUGUCAUGAUUUAUAAACUACGCUUAUAAACAAAAGAAACCAUUUUAUCACUCCUGCAGUCCACAAGAAAGAGAAAAAAAGAAUUUCCACCAUAAUCUUUGUCUUCCUACUUACUUUUACUGACCAAUAAAAACAACUAUGAAGGAAUCUUUCCAGAAAAUAGAUAAAGAUCCUUUUCAGUUUGAAAUGCACAACUCCCAACUUGUCUUUUACUUCUGUUCUGUGCAUGUAGAAGAUGAUCUAUAAAGUAAUCUUUU